rnacentral:rRNA from 1 species
GUCAUAACAAGGUCUCCGUUGGUGAACCAGCGGAGGGAUCAUUACUGAGUUACCGCUCUAUAACCCUUUGUGAACGUACCUAACCGUUGCCUCGGCGGGCAGGGGAAGCCUCUCGCGGGCCUCCCCUUCCGGCGCCGGCCCCCACCACGGGGACGGGGCGCCCGCCGGAGGAAACCAAACUCUAUUUACACGACGUCUCUUCUGAGUGGCACAAGCAAAUAAUUAAAACUUUUAACAACGGAUCUCUUGGUUCUGGCAUCGAUGAAGAACGCAGCGAAAUGCGAUAAGUAGUGUGAAUUGCAGAAUUCAGUGAAUCAUCGAAUCUUUGAACGCACAUUGCGCUCGCCAGCAUUCUGGCGAGCAUGCCUGUUCGAGCGUCAUUUCAACCCUCAAGCUCCGCUUGGUUUUGGGGCCCCACGGCCGACGUGGGCCCUUAAAGGUAGUGGCGGACCCUCCCGGAGCCUCCUUUGCGUAGUAACUAACGUCUCGCACUGGGAUCCGGAGGGACUCUUGCCGUUAAACCCCCAAAUUCUUUACAGGUUGACCUCGGAUCAGGUAGGAAUACCCGCUGAACUUAAGCAUAUCAAUAA